rnacentral:misc_RNA from 1 species
GAAUGAAGAACGCAGCGAAAUGCGAUAAGUAGUGUGAAUUGCAGAAUUCAGUGAAUCAUCGAAUCUUUGAACGCACAUUGCGCCCCUUGGUAUUCCAUGGGGCAUGCCUGUUCGAGCGUCAUUUGUACCUUCAAGCUUUGCUUGGUGUUGGGUGUUUGUCUCGCCUUUGCGUGUAGACUCGCCUUAAAAUAAUUGGCAGCCGGCGUAUUGAUUUCGGAGCGCAGUACAUCUCGCGCUUUGCACUCAUAACGACAGCGUCCAAAAGUACAUUUUACACUCUUGACCUCGGAUCAGGUAGGGAUACCCGCUGAACUUAAGCAUAUCAAUAAGCGGAGGA